GGCUGGCGGCAGGCCUACACAUGCAAGUCGAGCGGAUGAAGGGAGCUUGCUCCUGGAUUCAGCGGCGGACGGGUGAGUAAUGCCUAGGAAUCUGCCUGGUAGUGGGGGAUAACGUCCGGAAAACGGGCGCUAAUACCGCAUACGUCCUGAGGGAGAAAGUGGGGGAUCUUCGGACCUCACGCCCUAUCAGAUGAGCCUAGGUCGGAUUAGCUAGUUGGUGGGGUAAAGGCCUACCAAGGCGACGAUCCGUAACUGGUCUGAGAGGAUGAUCAGUCACACUGGAACUGAGACACGGUCCAGACUCCUACGGGAGGCAGCAGUGGGGAAUAUUGGACAAUGGGCGAAAGCCUGAUCCAGCCAUGCCGCGUGUGUGAAGAAGGUCUUCGGAUUGUAAAGCACUUUAAGUUGGGAGGAAGGGCAGUAAGUUAAUACCUUGCUGUUUUGACGUUACCAACAGAAUAAGCACCGGCUAACUUCGUGCCAGCAGCCGCGGUAAUACGAAGGGUGCAAGCGUUAAUCGGAAUUACUGGGCGUAAAGCGCGCGUAGGUGGUUCAGCAA
rnacentral:rRNA from 1 species